rnacentral:misc_RNA from 1 species
CAUACUCGGGGUUGCCGAGAAAGACCAUCUGCUCCCACUUGAUCUGGCCGAGCGUGUUGUUUUUGAUGAUGACUACUUUUAUCGGAAGCUCAUACUUCACAGCCGUGGCAAACUCACCCAUCAACAUCGUGAAGCCGCCAUCCCCGACGAAGGCGACGCAUUGCCGGUCAG